AAUAUACAAAUUGGCAGUCCAAUGAAGAGAAGGAUCGCAGCGCAGAUAUCUGUCUGUUCUCGACGGCAAUCAAGCGAGCACGUUUCACAAAACUGUAAGUCGGCGGGCUGGCAAGUGGGGACGAGAUACUUUGAGCAUCUGCAGCUUCGAGCUAAAGUUAAAGAGUUUCUCGAGGGAUCCGAUUAAUCACUCAGAGAGUGCUGAGUUUCAAGAUGAAAUAACGUUCCGGCCCUAUCGAUGAGAGGCCCACCGGACUUGGAUAGGUUCUCAGCAGCCAUCAUCGCCACUAUUGCCAGCGCUACAACACCGGGGGCCCUGAGGCUUGACGCUAAUUCCAGCUGGGAAGACAGACAUUAAAAAGUUACAUUUAAAUAUGAUCAAUUAAAUUACAGCUUUGCGACCGCAUGACUAGCUUAUACUCACGUGCUCUGCACCGAGCAAACAACUCUUCUCUUCACCCUCAUCAUACGGUCAAGCUACAAACGCAGUGCGAGACUUUAAUCACCGGUGUCAAUACCAAUCGGCCGCUUCAACCUGAUUUAAAGUCGUGCAAUCGCUGAGAGCCAACGCUGAUUGUGAAUCAACAGAUACGGCACAAGCAUGGGUCGUUGACGUCGUUCUCAGGGAUGUCGGCUUUGUCAAAGAAACUGGGGGAUGGGCAUCGCGUCGCACGGUUUGAACUGCCAGAGAUCACACGCGGACGAUUUCAUCCUGGAGAAAGAGGAGUAGGAGAGGCAGAUAAAGCGGAAGAGCGAGAGCGAGAAGAAAAAGGAGAUGAGAAACAUUCUCGGAUUACAGGAACCCCCUUCAGCCUGACAUCCCCCCUACUCAAAGAGGCCUACUUCCUUGAGUGUAAGCGUAACAUGCAGACGAUUACCAAAAAGAUGAUUUCACAUCUUCAUAUUCUCAUUCAAGUGACUGUUGCUAUUCGUCUAGUCCACAUUUUAUAACGAUAUCUGGGUUACUUGCUGCCAAUAUAUUGAUAUUAUGUGCGAUGACCGUAGGAUCGCAAUUACCAAUAGGCUGAAUGUCAAGGCGUUUCUUACUGUUGAAAAACUAAAAUAACCAGAAGUCAAAUCGAGGUGAAAAGAGAACAGAGAUGGUAAGAGUGACCUCCGUUACAAUUUUUCAGAAGCCUGAAUUGACGCCGUUAUUGCGUAGACGCGUGUAUGGACCUACGCGUAUGUACCUAACCAAGGCAGGUGCGUAGGACUUCUGCUCGUGUGAAAAGAUGCCGAGGAUAGAGAGAGCGUAGCUGUGAAACGAGGAUCCGCAGGUAAAUAUAUUCGUUUCGUGGCGGGUGCCUUAUACCAACCUAGCCCGUCGUCGAGGCAUGAUCACCGUAUCGAAGUCACGUUCGGGCAAUGGGACCAAACACUGUCAUUACCUAUACGCGCCGGUAAUGCUCGGCAACGCCGAGCAGCCGGCCUCGAAGUUGCGGUUCCAUCGGUCUCCGAACGGACCUCUCUUGAAUUAAUCGAAUUGUUCCGCGGGGAACGAACUGCUUAUUACCCAGCAUCGCCGUCUACCCGGGACAAGGGUGAGAGGGAAGGGAAGGGAUACUCGAGAGAUCCUAAAAGGAGAAACGGAACCAUGGUGGAGAAAAAACCCGCGCUUCGGGGUUUGCGCACUUUGCGUUUUGAAGCCACAUCAUGCUAUCAAGGCAUAUUCUUACGUUGAGUAGACAAUAGUCUUCGAGGCACACAUCUUACAACACUCUCAACAAUCCUCCAUGAAUCUUGGAUGAAUAACGGUUUCAAAUGAAUGACCGACUCUGUGUGUAAUUUGUCCAUGUGUCAAAGUUGUGCCAUCGGUAGAAAACAUCAGCUCGAAGUCAGAAACCAUUCUGGUAUCUGUAUCACGUAUAGUAUAUUAUAUCGUAUACAUGAAUUCGAAAUAUAAUCGUAUGCAUUUUAAUAGUAUAACGUAUAACGCGCGUGUGAUAUGGCCUGUGGGUGUAAUCACGAUGCUGAUGCCCAACUCGCUAAACUAUGAUUUAGAAAGCCAACGCGGUAACUUAUAUAAAGAAUAAUUAGGACCUUCCGAAGUGAACUAGCAUCAUUCUCCUUGAAUGAAAUUGCUGAGUAAGGAAUUAGGCUGCAACUUUCUAUUCGUUUUUUUUCUGGUAAAAUUUUGAAUGGCUAAGGGUAGCCAUUGCCUCAAGAAGUUCCUUCGAGACAGAAAGAUGAACCAUCGUAUUUGCGCAGAAAGUGUAAAGAGACAUAAUGUUGAAGAAAAUGGCUGCCAUGAAUGAUAAAUCAGACGUAGGUACAUGUGUAACAUUCCCGAGGUACUAUUCGCUAGAAAUCAUUACGCCAAGAGAGUAAUUCCCAACUAAGCUCAGCCAUAAAUACAUAAUGCAUCGUGUUGGUAGAUUACCCAGGUUUCCCACACGAGGUACGACCAACGUACGUACUCCAGGUAAACCAGCAUGGCGUUGUUGUUACCCAGCGUUAUGACCAGCCUCCCGCAGCACAUUUCUGUGAAAUCAUGCAUCACGCCGAGGUAUUUCAAAUAUAUAUCCGAGGUACCGUGUCUGCAAUGUGAGCACCCCUCUUCGCCUUUCCUUCUAUAUCUUCGUUUUCUUCUUCAUCUUCUAUAUUCACCCAUCCAUCUUCCAAGCAGAAAACUGACGAAAGUUCUACGCCACCCGUUACAGGAGGAUAGAUACAAUUCCGUGUCUGUCAGCAUCAACAGGGGUAAAACGUAAGUGAGGGCAAGAAGAUAAAGAGGCUUUGCGCCAAGUGUUAUGCCUACGGGAAAAAUGAAGCCGAAGCCCCGAGUAAAAUGGUUGUCCUGGGUAGAUGAGAAGACCAUGACCAGAAGCUUAGUGCACCUGUAUAGGUCAGUAUAAUUAAAAGCCAGAGAAUCAUGCGCAUCGCAUUAAUACUCCAUAUCGCGAUCGCGCAUGACUCUGAAGAUCGUCGGUUCGUUGCCGUUUAGUUAAUUGGUAAGGCAUUCCAAGUUCGCGGUAUAUAAAACAUCCGUGUGAUUAUUCAGAGUAGUUAUAAUUACCUAUGCAAAGAGCUGCAGAUGCGAUUAAAGCGAUGAUAAUGUUAAACCAACCGAGACUUUAAUUAUCUUUCCAAGAUCUGUUUACUUAUACCUCCGUUAUCCAUUGUAUGAAACGUUUAAAUAUUAAAAAUUGAAAGAAUUGAGUAGAAAUGCAGUUAGUUAGCUAUAAAUGGGUACAGAACAAAAGUAUAUUUUUAACAUUGUACGUAUCAAGUUUGUCAAAAACCUAGGAUUGAUUCCUUCACAAUUACGUGCGUAUUCGGAUGCCUGUAAACGCCAAGUUACGCAUACUGGGUGAGUAACGAUGUAUUCGUGUAAUUACGAAAAUAAAUAAUUACCCCAAGCCA